rnacentral:misc_RNA from 1 species
GAUGAAGAACGCAGCGAAUUGCGAUAUGUAAUGUGAAUUGCAGAAUUCAGUGAAUCAUCGAAUCUUUGAACGCACCUUGCACCCUCUGGUAUUCCGGAGGGUAUGCCUGUUUGAGUGUCAUUAAUCUCUCAACACAAGAAAACUUUUUGUUCCUUGUGCUUGGAUGGUGAAAGUUGCUGGCGCAAACAACUGUCAGCUCUUUUUAAAUGCAUUAGCAGAGCAGUGUAGGACUGGCCUCAGUUUGAUAAGAGACAUUUAUCUAUGCUGUCGCUAGAUUUCCUCUGUGUUCAGCUUCUAAACGUCUUUCGACUGUCUCUCCAGAGGCAACAUAACUCAUUGAUCGACCUCAAAUCAGGUAGGACUACCCGCUGAACUUAAGCAUAUCAAUAAGCGGAGGA